rnacentral:rRNA from 1 species
UACGAAGGGUGCAAGCGUUAAUCGGAAUUACUGGGCGUAAAGCGUGCGCAGGCGGUUCUAUAAGACAGAUGUGAAAUCCCCGGGCUCAACCUGGGAACUGCAUUUGUGACUGUAGAGCUGGAGUACGGUAGAGGGGGAUGGAAUUCCGCGUGUAGCAGUGAAAUGCGUAGAUAUGCGGAGGAACACCGAUGGCGAAGGCAAUCCCCUGGACCUGUACUGACGCUCAUGCACGAAAGCGUGGGGAGCAAACAGG